rnacentral:rRNA from 1 species
GUUCUGUAAGCCUGUGAAGGUGGCCUGUGAGGGUUGCUGGAGGUAUCAGAAGUGCGAAUGCUGACAUAAGUAACGAUAAAGCGGGUGAAAAGCCCGCUCGCCGGAAGACCAAGGGUUCCUGUCCAACGUUAAUCGGGGCAGGGUGAGUCGACCCCUAAGGCGAGGCCGAAAGGCGUAGUCGAUGGGAAACGGGUUAAUAUUCCCGUACUUGGUGUUACUGCGAAGGGGGGACGGAGAAGGCUAUGUUGGCCGGGCGACGGUUGUCCCGGUUUAAGCGUGUAGGUGUGUGUUCCAGGUAAAUCCGGUUCACUUUAACACUGAGGCGUGACGACGAGGCACUACGGUGCUGAAGCAACAAAUGCCCUGCUUCCAGGAAAAGCCUCUAAGCAUCAGGUAACAUCAAAUCGUACCCCAAACCGACACAGGUGGUCAGGUAGAGAAUACCAAGGCGCUUGAGAGAACUCGGGUGAAGGAACUAGGCAAAAUGGUGCCGUAACUUCGGGAGAAGGCACGCUGACACGUAGGUGAAGUGAUUUACUCAUGGAGCUGAAGUCAGUCGAAGAUACCAGCUGGCUGCAACUGUUUAUUAAAAACACAGCACUGUGCAAACACGAAAGUGGACGUAUACGGUGUGACGCCUGCCCGGUGCCGGAAGGUUAAUUGAUGGGGUCAGCGCAAGCGAAGCUCCUGAUCGAAGCCCCGGUAAACGGCGGCCGUAACUAUAACGGUCCUAAGGUAGCGAAAUUCCUUGUCGGGUAAGUUCCGACCUGCACGAAUGGCGUAAUGAUGGCCAGGCUGUCUCCACCCGAGACUCAGUGAAAUUGAACUCGCUGUGAAGAUGCAGUGUACCCGCGGCAAGACGGAAAGACCCCGUGAACCUUUACUAUAGCUUGACACUGAACAUUGAGCCUUGAUGUGUAG